rnacentral:rRNA from 1 species
UUUAACGGCCGCGGUAUUUUGACCGUGCAAAGGUAGCGCAAUCACUUGUCUUUUAAAUGAAGACCUGUAUGAAUGGCAUAACGAGGGCUUAACUGUCUCCUUUUUCCAGUCAAUGAAAUUGAUCUCCCCGUGCAGAAGCGAGGAUAUUAACAUAAGACGAGAAGACCCUAUGGAGCUUUAGACACCAGAACAGACCAUGUCAAACACCCCUUAAAUGAAGGACAAAACUAAUUGGCCCCUGUUCUAAUGUCUUUGGUUGGGGCGACCGCGGGGAAACAAAAAACCCCCAUGUGGACCGGGAGCACACUCACUCCUACAACCCAGAGGCACAACUCCAAGUAACAGAACUUCUGACCAACAAGAUCCGGCACAUAGCCGAUCAACGGACCGAGUACCCUAG